rnacentral:lncRNA from 1 species
UCUGUUGGAAGAGUUACUCUCCUGCGGAAGAGGAACUAAAAAGCAACUAAAAACAAAGCAUAAUUAAUAAUUAAAGAGAAGAAGAAGAAAACAAACUUACCUGCGGAAGAGGAACAAAGAACAGAAAAGAGCUUUCACAGUGAAAAUGUGAAAAAAAUGGGUAUAGAGCUUUCACAGCAGAGGAAAGAACGUUUUUUCAAGGGGGAGAAAUAGGUUAAUUUGGUCUUUUAUUAGCCAAAAGCACUUCCAGCGCUUUAGAUGGUGAAAUUUUUAGCUUCUCCAUCUAGAGAGAAGCACUUUUUUGAUGGAGAAAUUUUAAGAGAAAAAGGAGGAUGUUCUUUGCUCCUUUUAAGAGAAAAGCACUUUUGGGUGAAAAAGUGAUUCUCAAACGGGCCCUUAGUAUAUAUGACACAUUUUAGUUUAUGAAAGCAUUCUGUUUCACCGAUGUAGCAUCUUAGUCUUUUCUGGCUUUGUUGCAGACAAGGGAAGGUUCCC